rnacentral:rRNA from 1 species
ACGGCCGUACCACGCUGAAUAUACCGGUUCUCGUUAGAUCACCGAAGUCAAGCAUCAUUGGGCGCGGUCAGUACUUGGGUGGGUGACCACCUGGAAAUACCGCAUGCCGUU